GUCCUGGCCCUAAACGAUGUCCACUAGAUCGCAGUGCCUCUGACGGCUUUGCGGUCGAAGCAAAAGUGCUAAGUGGACCGCCUGGGAAGUACGGUCGCAAGGCUAAAACUCAAAGGAAUUGACGGGGGCUCACACAAGCGGUGGAGCAUGUGGUUCAAUUCGAAGCAACGCGCAGAACCUUACCUGGGCUUGACAUGCUUGGAUUAUCCCCGUGAAAGCGGGGUAGGCCCUUCGGGGUACAACAAGUACAGGUGCUGCAUGGCUGUCGU
rnacentral:rRNA from 1 species